rnacentral:lncRNA from 1 species
UACACACAGAAAAAGAGCUGCCCAGUGGCAUCCUGAAACAAACGAUCAGCUUAGGCCCUUCAGCUCCCUUAAAAAGUAGAAGAUAACAUAGAAUAGGAACAUUGUUUACACAGAGGUGGCCAAUUAUGAAGGAUGCACAAUGCGCCUGAACCCCACCUGUGUGGUUGUUCCUUGACAGUUCUGUCGGCCGGAGACAUUUUUCAUCUUUUCCUCACCUCUACAAAUUCCAAAUUCUAAGUUCCAUCCACCUAACCUCAAAUCCAUGUCAGUGUCCUGUUUUCAAAUACUAUUUUGAGUGCGCAGGGAUUGAUUGGGCCACCAGGGAUCCACACGACCUUGAAGCUUCGAAGCACUAUCACAAAUGUCAAAAUUUGAAGCUUCCUUCCCUCUCUUCAUCAUUACGCACAUCCCUUUUCUUCUCUGCCUUCGGAUCACCUCCGCCUCCCACUUUUGACCCUUGAAUUAAUGGGAAUACUUUAGAAGAUUCUCAGGACAUGCUCAGGGAGAAAGCUUCAUGAAUGCACUUCCUUUGGUGGCUGUCCACCGGGGCUCCUUUUGUGAAAUUGAGGGCCAUUUUAGCUUUUAUCCUCUCUUCCCAAAGCUACUUGCUUGUACUCGAUUGCCUCAGAAAAAUCUUCAUUUGGUAGUGAUCACCACCACACGUGGCUGUGACUUCAUUUCUUAAAAAAAUGUACUGAAUCUACCCAUUACAAGUUG